rnacentral:rRNA from 1 species
UGGUGCCGAUGCGCUUAGGGGAAACACCCGUACCCAUCCCGAACACGAUGGUUAAGACCUAAGCGGCCGAUGGUACUAUGCUGGAGACGGCAUGGGAGAGCAGGUGGCUGCCGGAUU